GGGAACAGUGGGAACCACACCUCCUUGGAUUAGAUUAGAUUCUCUCUCUCUCUCUUUUUCUAUCCCUUCUUUUCUUCUUCAAUCAACAACCGCCUCCCUCCUCAAUUUCCUAGAAGUUUCAGAGCUUGACCAAACUCCAAAUUCCUUCUCCUUCUUCCUCUUCUUCUGCGAUCUUUGUGUUCUCUGGCUCUGAUUUCAUUUUUCGACUUUCGUCAACGCGUCUGUGAUUUUGAUUUCAGGAGCUUCAAAUUGGUUGAGUGUGAUAGCUAGAAGAUUCAGAGAAACCGCGUUGUCUUUGUAGCUAACUGAAUUUGGUUUGUAGAAAAUAGAAGUUUAGCUGCAUAUAUCGUAGUGCAGUUGUUGAAAUUGACUUCAAAAUCACAUCGAGGUCCUGCUAAAUGCUAUUGAAUUUUAUUUAUAGACAGAAAGAAGGGUAAUAAUAAGCUUGCGAAAUCUUGGAGUCAUGCCUGUAUCAGGAAAUGAAGAGACUGGGGUUAAACCCGUUAUCCGGAAAUCUAGUGAUUAUGUUGCAGGUGUUCCUAUCAAGAAAAGGAGGUUUCCUAUAAUGAGGCCUCCAUCACCCCCUUCUGAAGAACAAACUUUGUUUCCUAAAAAAGAAGAAUCAUCUUCCUUUCCUGCAAAAAAUGAUUCA